ensembl:lncRNA
UGGGCUAUGGCCAAUGUGGUCCCAUCCCAUCCCUGUCCCAUCCCCAUCCCAUCCCCGUCCCCAUUCCAUUCCAUCCCCAUCCCUUUCCCUCCCCAUCCCAUCCCCGUCCCCCUCCAUCCCAAUGGGGUCCUCCUUGCUGGGCUGGGGGCUCAGGGCUUUGGUUGGGGUCAGGGGUCCCAACUCCAGCAUUGGGUCAUGGCCAACGCGGUCUCAUCCCCAUCCCAUCCCCAUCCCAUCCCAAUGGGGUCCUCCUUCUGGGCUGGGGGCUCAGCGUGGGUUGUUUGGGGUCGGAAUGGAGAAAGAGGGUUCCCAACUCCUGCACUGGGCUAUGGCCAAUGUGAUCCCAUUCCCAUCCCAUCCCAUCCCCAUUCCAUUCCAUCCCCAUCCCAUCCCUGUCCCAUCCCAUCCCUGUCCCCAUCCAUUCCAAUGGGGUCCUCCUUCUGGGCUGGGGGCUCAGGGGGGGUUUGUUUGGGGUCAGAGUGGAGAAAGGGGGUUCCCAACUCCUGCACUGGGCUAUGGCCAACGUGGUCCCAUCCCAUCCCAUCCCAUCCCAUCCCAUCCCAUCCCAUCCCAUUUCCAUCCCCCCUCGGUCCCAAUGGGCUCUGAUCUCUGUCCCCCCGGGGGAUGAGAUGAGAUGGUGGGGAUGGAGGGAUGGAAUCACAGAAACACUGAGGUUGGAAAAGACCACUGAGACCUCCGAGUCCAACUGAGCAAUGGGUGGAUGGGGGGGGGGGGGGAUGAGGGACAGAUGGGUGGAGGGUGGGGGGGAUUGGGGUGAGGGAGGGGGUGGAUGGACUGGGAUGAUGGAGGGAAGGACGGGGAUGGAUGGAGGAGGGAGAGGGAUGGAUGGAGUGGGUUGAGAUGGAGGAAUGGGGAUGGAUGGAUUAGGAAUAUGAAGGGAUGGAUGGAUGGGGAAUGAGGAUGAGGGAUGGAUGGAGUGGGAUGAGGGAUGGAGGGAUUGGGAUGCAGGGAAGGAUAGGGAUGGAUGGAGGAUGGAGAGAAGGAUGAGGAAUGGGUGGAUUGGGAUACAGGGAUGGGGACGGAUGGAUUGGGAUGGGGAUGAGGGAUGGAUGGGGAUGGAGGGGUUGGGAUGAGAGAUGGGGAUGGGUGGACUGGGAUGAGAUGGAGGACGGAUGGAUUGGGAUAAGGGAUGGGGAUGGAUGGAGGAUGAAGUGGGAUGGGGAGGGAUGGAAUAGGAAUAUGGAGGGGUGGAUGGAUGGAUGGAUGGGGAAUGAGGAGGAGGGAUGGAUGGAUGGAUUGGGAUGAGAUGGAGGAUGGACGGACUGGGCUGAUGGAGGGAAGGACAGGGAUGGAUGGAGGAUGGAUGGAUUGGGAUAAGAGAUGGAUGGAUUGGGAUGAGGGAUGGGGAUGGAGGGAUGGGGAUGGAUGGAUUGGGAUGGGGAUGGAGGGAUGGGGAUGAGGGAUGGAUGGGGAUGGAGGGAUUGGGAUGGGGAUGAGGACGGAGGAAUUGGGAUGGGGCUGAAGGAUGGAUGGGGAUGGAUGAAUUAGGAAUAUGGAGGGAUGGAUGGAUGGAUUGGGAUGAGAUGGAGGAUGGACGGACUGGGCUGAUGGAGGGAAGGACAGGGAUGGAUGGAGGAUGGAUGGAUUGGGAGGAGGAUGAGAGAUGGGUGGAUUGGGAUGGGGAUGGAUGGGGAUGGAGGGAUUGGGAUGGAGGGAUGGGGAUGGAUGGAUUGGGAUAGGGAUGAGGGAUGGAUGGGGAUGGAGGGGUUGGGUUGAUGGAUGCUGGGAUGGGGAUGAGGAUGGAGAGAUUGGGAUGGGGACGGAUGGAUUGGGAUGGGGAUGAGGGAUGGAUGGGGAUGGAUGGAUUGGGAUGGGGAAUGGAUGGGGACGGAUGGAUUGGGAUGGGGAAUGAAUGGGGACGGAUGGAUUGGGAUGGAUGGAUUGGGAUGGGGAAUGGAUGGGGACGGAUGGAUUGGGAUGGAGGGAUGGGGACGGAUGGAUUGGGACGGAUGGAUUGGGAUGGAGGGAUGGGGACGGAUGGAUUGGGACGGAUGGACGGGGAAUAUGGAGGGAUGGAUGGAUGGGAAAUGAGGAAGAGAGACGAUGGAUGGAUGGACGGCUGGGGAUGCAGGGACGGGAGCAGGACGGAGGCCCGGGCAAUGCGGAGGGGGCAGCCCAACACCCCCACACUGCACCCCAUCUGCGCCCCCCCACAGCCCCCCCGAAGCCCAGCGACUGCAGCACGGUGAGGGCGGGGGGUUUUCUUUCUUUUUUUUCUUUUUUUUAACUUUUUUUUAACUUUUUUUCCUCCUUUUUCUCCUCUCUCCUUCAGGACGGCUCCACCAAACCCAUCCCCCCCUCCCCAAAGAAAACCCUAUUCAAUAAUUCCUGCCAAUAAAUAACGUUUUCACCUCCGGGUUUUUGGGGGGUUUUUCUUCCCUUUCAACAGAGCUAAAAAAAAAAACCAAUAAAAUAAUAAAAUAAAAUAAAAUAAAAAGCCAGAAAUCCAAUCAAAUCCGAUCCGACCCAAAGGAGGCAGCGCCGGGGCUAUGGGGGGGGGGGGGGGGGCUGCUCUGCACUGAGACCCCCCCCCAGCGCUGCCCCCCCUCCCCAUCGCAUGCAUCUCUGCCAUCACAUGCAAACACCCAAUUGGGGGGCAGCCCCCCGCGCUCCCCUGGGGGUUGGGGUGAGGUGGGGGGGGGAUAUGGGGCUGGGGGGAGGGGGGGCAGAGCUUCCCCAUGGGCUCCUCCACACACGGACCCCCAUUCGGCCCCACAACUGUGCUGGCGGCAAUGGGGGAGGGGCCCAAAAAGCAAAGGAGGCCAAAAAGGUGAAUGUGGGGUGGGGGGGGUAUGAAGGGAAGGACCCCAAAAACAUGGAGUGUGGGGGGGGUCCAAAGGGAAGGACCCCAAAAAGAUGGAGUGGGGGGGAUCCAAAGGGAAGGACCCCAAAAAGAUGGAGUGGGGGGGGUCCAAAGGGAAGGACCCCAAAAAGAUGCAUUUGGGAUGGCGGAUCCAAAGGGAAAGACCCUCAAAAGUGAAGGAUCCCAGAAAGACCUCUGCAGAGUGGGGGAUCCAAAGUGAGGGACCCCAAAAGGAUGAAGAGGUGGAUCCAAAGGAAGGACCCCAAAAGAAUGCAGAUGGGAUGGGGGGAUCCAAGGUGAAGGACCCCAAAAAGUGAAAGACCCCAAAAAGAUGUAUGUGGAGUGGGAGAUGGAAAGUGAAGGACCUCACAAGGAUGCAGAUGGGAUGGGGAUCCAAAGGACCCCAAAGAAUGAAGGUACCCAAAAACAUGGAGAUGGGAUGGGGGUGGGGGGUCUAAAAUGAAGGACCCCCAUUAGGAUGUAUUUGGGGUGGGGGACCCAAAGGGAAGGACCCCAAAGAGAUGGAGGUGCGAUGGGGGGAUCCAAAAGGAGCCCAGGAAGAUGUGCAGAUGGAGUGGGGGGGUCCAAAGGGAAGGACCCCAUUGGGACGUGGGGGGGUCGGGGGAUGGGAAGCGCUGCCUCCAUGCUCUGCUUUGGGAUCCGGGGCUGCGCUGAAGGAUGGGGGAGGUGAUGGGAGAGCAGCAGGAGGGCGAGCAGUGCCGUGUGGGUAUGGGCUGAUGGGGGGUAUGGGCUGAUGGGGGGGGUAGGGGCUGACG